CCUACGGGAGGCUGCAGUGGGGAAUAUUGGACAAUGGGGGCAACCCUGAUCCAGCCAUGCCGCGUGUGUGAAGAAGGCCCUCGGGUUGUAAAGCACUUUCAGUGGGGAAGAACGCCUGGUGGUUAAUACCCAUCAGGAAAGACAUCACUCACAGAAGAAGCACCGGCUAACUCCGUGCCAGCAGCCGCGGUAAUACGGAGGGUGCGAGCGUUAAUCGGAAUUACUGGGCGUAAAGCGCGCGUAGGUGGCUUGAUAAGCCGGUUGUGAAAGCCCCGGGCUCAACCUGGGAACGGCAUCCGGAACUGUCAAGCUAGAGUGCAGGAGAGGAAGGUAGAAUUCCCGGUGUAGCGGUGAAAUGCGUAGAGAUCGGGAGGAAUACCAGUGGCGAAGGCGGCCUUCUGGACUGACACUGACACUGAGGUGCGAAAGCGUGGGUAGCAAACAGGAUUAGAUACCCUGGUAGUC
rnacentral:rRNA from 1 species